rnacentral:rRNA from 1 species
AACUCUUAGCGGUGGAUCACUCGGCUCGUGCGUCGAUGAAGAACGCAGCUAGCUGCGAGAACUAAUGUGAUUUGCAUAGUUGGAGAGCAUGCUCUGCUGGAGAGUCAGGGGAGUUAAAAACAACUGUUUAUAGCUUUAUUUUGAUUGAUC